UACGGAGGGUGCGAGCGUUGUCCGGAAUCACUGGGCGUAAAGGGCGCGUAGGUGGCGCGAGUAGUCAACGGUGAAAGCCCGGGGCUCAACCCAGGGACUGCGCUUGAUACGGCCGUGCUGGAGGAUGGAAGAGGGCCGCGGAAUUCCCAGUGUAGAGGUGAAAUUCGUAGAUAUUGGGAAGAACACCGGUGGCGAAGGCGGCGGCCUGGUCCAUUUCUGACGCUGAGGCGCGACAGCGUGGGGAGCAAACAGG
rnacentral:rRNA from 1 species